CAUCACUACACCAUUACAACACAGAGAUACAACAUCACUACACCAUUACAACACAGAGAUACAACAUCACUACACCAUUACAACACAGAGAUAUAACAUCACUACACCAUUACAACACAGAGAUACAGCAUUACUACACCAUUACAACACAGAGAUACAACAUUACUACACCAUUACUACACAGAUAUAUAACAUUACUACGCCAUUACUACACAGAGAUACAACAUUACUACACCAUUACUACACAGAUAUAUAACAUUACUACGCCAUUACUACACAGAGAUACAACAUUAC
rnacentral:lncRNA from 1 species